UUUGCCAACCCCGCCCAU
rnacentral:miRNA from 1 species